rnacentral:rRNA from 1 species
UCCUACGGGGCGCAGCAGUGGGGAAUAUUGCACAAUGGGGGGAACCCUGAUGCAGCAAUGCCGCGUGGGUGAAGAAGCACUCCGGUGCGUAAAGCCCUGUCAGCAGGGAAGAAAAUGACAGUACCUGGACAAGAAGCCCCGGCUAACUACGUGCCAGCAGCCGCGGUAAUACGUAGGGGGCAAGCGUUAUCCGGAUUUACUGGGUGUAAAGGGAGCGUAGACGGAGGAGCAAGUCUGAUGUGAAAAUCCGGGGCCCAACCCCGGAACUGCAUUGGAAACUGUUUAUCUCGCGUGUCGGAGAGGCA